rnacentral:rRNA from 1 species
GAUGAACGCUGGCGGCGUGCCUAAUACAUGCAAGUCGAACGAAACUUCUUUAUCACCGAGUGCUUGCACUCACCGAUAAAGAGUUGAGUGGCGAACGGGUGAGUAACACGUGGGCAACCUGCCCAAAAGAGGGGGAUAACACUUGGAAACAGGUGCUAAUACCGCAUAACCAUAGUUACCGCAUGGUAACUAUGUAAAAGGUGGCUAUACUACCGCUUUUGGAUGGGCCCGCGGCGCAUUAGCUAGUUGGUAGGGUAAAGGCUUACCAAGGCAAUGAUGCGUAGCCGAAUUGAGAGGUUGAUCGGCCACAUUGGGACUGAGACACGGCCCAAACUCCUACGGGAGGCAGCAGUAGGGAAUCUUCCACAAUGGGCGAAAGCCUGAUGGAGCAACGCCGCGUGGGUGAAGAAGGUCUUCGGAUCGUAAAACCCUGUUGUUAGAGAAGAAAGUGCGUGAGAGUAACGGUUCACGUUUCGACGGUAUCUAACCAGAAAGCCACGGCUAACUACGU